UCCGCUUAAAGUUGCAUCAGCGAUUUUUAGCGGAUGUGUGAAGAGGGUGUUAGAGUCAUGGGAAGUAUGGCUGGCCGGUGUAACUGUGCAAGAUAACGACAUUUUUAGAAAAACCUUAUUUUCUCGAAAUCUGUAGGUUUAAUUGGCAAAAGAAUUAAAAAAUAAGAAAAGCCCUGUGAUCCCGAUCGAGGUUUUCAAACAUCGAUGUUCCAUCACUGCUUGGCAGAUAAGAAUCUUGAUCUCGACAAAUAUUGGUGUUGUCGGCGCUUCGAUAUGGAGAAGAUCGCCAACACCAGAAUCCACAGCAGAGUCGGACCUAUUAUUCAGUUGUUUACAAACUAAUCAAACUCAAAAAAUUCAUAGCGGUCGCGCGGAUUCCAUAUUGGCUUUGCAGCAAUACUUGAAUGCGAGUAAUUUGAACCCUGCCCAAAACCCUUUGGAUUAUUGGAAGAUAUCAAAUGACGCCGGAUUCAAAACAUGCGUUUUUAAAUACUUCUGCGUACCGGCCACCUCUACUGAAAGUGAGAGGAUGUUCAGUAAAGCUGGACUACUUGUAAGCGAGAAGAGAAUAUGAUUUAAUUCCUAAACAAAAAUGAUUGGAUAAUUUAGUUUUAGUUAUGUUAUUUUUUUCUUAUUUUUUUAGUAGAACUUUAUACUGUUUUUUAAUUUAUUUUUAAUUGAAUUGUGAUUUAAUUUUACUUUUUGUGUUGAACGAGUAGUUUAAGUCUCACUUUGAAUUUGCAGGACACAAAAACAGAAAACAAUGGAUCUUAAAUAAAGCAUAAUUUUUUAUAAUGAA